GCCAAUGCACUUAACCACUAUAUUAUACUACCGGAGAAAAUGAAAAUUAAAGUAUUGUUAGGCCAAAUACUUCAAAAUGUUUACCAUCCCCAACUAAAAAUACUAAUAAUAAGGCUAUACUAAAUGGUCAGAAUAAAAGUCUGUAAGUGUGCACUACCAAGUACCAUCAGGGUCCACCCUUUCCUUCACCAUCACAUUGAGGCCAUUACUAAUAUGGUUUUCUCAUUAUUUUGACACAAAAAAAGAGGCAACUUUAAUGUGUGAACAAAAGCAUAUAGCCAAGUGAUGGGUAAACAGUAUCUGAAUUAAGUUUUCACACUAAUGAGGAGGAAACUUAGUCACAUAAGACAUAAUAAUACCCAAAG